CUUGGUGGCGAUAGCGGGCGGGAACCACCCGAUACCAUCUCGAACUCGGUAGUGAAAACGCUCAGCGCCGACGAUAGUGUGGGGCCUCCCCAUGUGAAAAUAGGACACCGCCAAGC
rnacentral:rRNA from 1 species